rnacentral:rRNA from 1 species
UGGGGAAUUUUGGACAAUGGGGGAAACCCUGAUCCAGCCAUCCCGCGUGUGCGAUGAAGGCCUUCGGGUUGUAAAGCACUUUUGGCAGGAAAGAAACGUCGCGGGUUAAUACCCCGCGAAACUGACGGUACCUGCAGAAUAAGCACCGGCUAACUACGUGCCAGCAGCCGCGGUAAUACGUAGGGUGCAAGCGUUAAUCGGAAUUACUGGGCGUAAAGCGUGCGCAGGCGGUUCGGAAAGAAAGAUGUGAAAUCCCAGAGCUUAACUUUGGAACUGCAUUUUUAACUACCGGGCUAGAGUGUGUCAGAGGGAGGUGGAAUUCCGCGUGUAGCAGUGAAAUGCGUAGAUAUGCGGAGGAACACCGAUGGCGAAGGCAGCCUCCUGGGAUAACACUGACGCUCAUGCACGAAAGCGUGGGGAGCAAACAGGAUUAGAUACCCUGGUAGUCCACGCCCUAAANGAUGUCAACUAGCUGUUGGGGCCUUCGGGCCUUGGUAGCGCAGCUAACGCGU